rnacentral:tRNA from 2 species
GCUCCCAUAGCUCAAUGGAUAGAGCAGCAGCCUUCUAAGCUGUUGAUGAGGGUCCGAUUCCUUCUGGGAGCACUA